UAACUGUAAUAACUCUAGAGCUAAUACAUGCCACGAUGCCCUGACCUGUGUCCUGCACAGGGAUGGGUGCACUUAUUAGAUCAGAAACCAACCGAGCCCUGUUCGCAGGGCUUGUUGUCGUUCUGGUGACUCUGGAUAAUUGUUACAGAUCGCAGUCGGCCUUGCGUCGGCGACGGGUCCUUCAAAUGUCUGCCCUAUCAACUUUCGAUGGUAGGUGAUCUGCCUACCAUGGUGAUAACGGGUAACGGGGAAUCAGGGUUCGAUUCCGGAGAGGGAGCCUGAGAAACGGCUACCACUUCCAAGGGAGGCAGCAGGCGCGCAAAUUACCCACUCCCGGUACGGGGAGGUGGUGACGAAAAAUACCGAUGCGGGACUCUUCAAGAGGCUCCGUAAUCGGAAUGAGUGAACUCUAAAUCCUUUCACGAGGAUCAAUUGGAGGGCAAGUCUGGUGCCAGCAGCCGCGGUAACUCCAGCUCCAAUAGCGUAUAUUAAAGUUGCUGCAGUUAAAAAGCUCGUAGUUGGAUCUCGGUAUCACUGUUGCCUGCCAUUGCUUGGCCAGCUGGGUGCCGGGUGAUGCGGCUGAGUGCCGUGUUGCCUUGGUGUUCGACUGUUGUCGAGUUGGUUUGGUAGCGGUGCCACCUUUUAGCCAUGUCUGUGGUGAAAUACCCACAGGUGUAGGCAAGUGUCAGGCGGUGCUCUGCAGCUGUAGGGUCCGUCGGCUCGUCUGCAUGCCUUUGGAUGCCCUUUAAAAGGUGUCUGUGGGCGGAUGGCACGUUUACUUUGAACAAAUUUGAGUGCUCAAACCAAGCCGUUGUAGCCUGAAAAGUUUUGCAUGGAAUAAUGGAAUAGGACUUCGGUUCUAUUUUGUUGGUUUUCGGAUCCGAAGUAAUGAUCAAAAGAGACAGGCGGGGACGUUUGUAUGGUUGCGCUAGAGGUGAAAUUCAUGGACCGUAACCAGACAGACUAAAGCGAAAGCAUUCGUCAAGCAUGUUUUCAUUGGCCAUGA
rnacentral:rRNA from 1 species